AGCGUACACGGUGGAUGCCCUGGCAGUCAGAGGCGAUGAAGGACGUGCUAAUCUGCGAAAAGCGCCGGCGAGGUGAUAUGAACCUUUGACCCGGCGAUGUCCGAAUGGGGAAACCCAGUGCAAUCCGUUGCACUAUCGUUAACUGAAUACAUAGGUUAACGAGGCGAACCGGGGGAACUGAAACAUCUAAGUACCCCGAGGAAAAGAAAUCAACCGAGAUUCCCCCAGUAGCGGCGAGCGAACGGGGAGCAGCCCGGAGUCUGAAUCAGCUUGUGUGUUAGUGGAACGGUCUGGAAAGUCCGACGGUACAGGGUGAUAGUCCCGUACACGAAAGCACACUUGCUGUGAACUCGAAGAGUAGGGCGGGACACGUGGUAUCCUGUCUGAAUAUGGGGGGACCAUCCUCCAAGGCUAAAUACUCCUGACUGACCGAUAGUGAACCAGUACCGUGAGGGAAAGGCGAAAAGAACCCCGGCGAGGGGAGUGAAAAAGAACCUGAAACCGUGUACGUACAAGCAGUGGGAGCCUCUUUAUGGGGUGACUGCGUACCUUUUGUAUAAUGGGUCAGCGACUUAUAUUCUGUAGCAAGGUUAACCGUAUAGGGGAGCCGAAGGGAAACCGAGUCUUAACUGGGCGUUAAGUUGCAGGGUAUAGACCCGAAACCCGGUGAUCUAGCCAUGGGCAGGUUGAAGGUUGGGUAACACUAACUGGAGGACCGAACCGACUAAUGUUGAAAAAUUAGCGGAUGACCUGUGGCUGGGGGUGAAAGGCCAAUCAAACCGGGAGAUAGCUGGUUCUCCCCGAAAGCUAUUUAGGUAGCGCCUCGUGAACUCAUCUUCGGGGGUAGAGCACUGUUUCGGCUAGGGGGCCAUCCCGGCUUACCAACCCGAUGCAAACUACGAAUACCGAAGAAUGUUAUCACGGGAGACACACGGCGGGUGCUAACGUCCGUCGUGAAGAGGGAAACAACCCAGACCGCCAGCUAAGGUCCCAAAGUCAUGGUUAAGUGGGAAACGAUGUGGGAAGGCACAGACAGCCAGGAUGUUGGCUUAGAAGCAGCCAUCAUUUAAAGAAAGCGUAAUAGCUCACUGGUCGAGUCGGCCUGCGCGGAAGAUGUAACGGGGCUAAACCAUGCACCGAAGCUGCGGCAGCGACGCUUAGGCGUUGUUGGGUAGGGGAGCGUUCUGUAAGCCGUUGAAGGUGUNNNNNNNNNNNNNNNNNNNNNNNNNNNNNNNNNNUUAACGCUGAGGUGUGAUGACGAGGCACUACGGUGCUGAAGUGAUAAAUGCCCUGCUUCCAGGAAAAGCCUCUAAGCAUCAGGUAACACGAAAUCGUACCCCAAACCGACACAGGUGGUCAGGUAGAGAAUACCAAGGCGCUUGAGAGAACUCGGGUGAAGGAACUAGGCAAAAUGGUGCCGUAACUUCGGGAGAAGGCACGCUGAUAUGUAGGUGAAGUCCCUGCGGACGGAGCUGAAAUCAGUCGAAGAUACCAGCUGGCUGCAACUGUUUAUUAAAAACACAGCACUGUGCAAACACGAAAGUGGACGUAUACGGUGUGACGCCUGCCCGGUGCCGGAAGGUUAAUUGAUGGGGUUAGCGGCAACGCGAAGCUCUUGAUCGAAGCCCCGGUAAACGGCGGCCGUAACUAUAACGGUCCUAAGGUAGCGAAAUUCCUUGUCGGGUAAGUUCCGACCUGCACGAAUGGCGUAAUGAUGGCCAGGCUGUCUCCACCCGAGACUCAGUGAAAUUGAACUCGCUGUGAAGAUGCAGUGUACCCGCGGCAAGACGGAAAGACCCCGUGAACCUUUACUAUAGCUUGACACUGAACACUGGUCCUUGAUGUGUAGGAUAGGUGGGAGGCUUUGAAGCGUGGACGCCAGUCUGCGUGGAGCCAACCUUGAAAUACCACCCUUUAAUGGCUGGUGUUCUAACGUAGACCCGUAAUCCGGGUUGCGGACAGUGUCUGGUGGGUAGUUUGACUGGGGCGGUCUCCUCCCAAAGAGUAACGGAGGAGCACGAAGGUUGGCUAAUCCUGGUCGGACAUCAGGAGGUUAGUGCAAUGGCAUAAGCCAGCUUGACUGCGAGCGUGACGGCGCGAGCAGGUGCGAAAGCAGGUCAUAGUGAUCCGGUGGUUCUGAAUGGAAGGGCCAUCGCUCAACGGAUAAAAGGUACUCCGGGGAUAACAGGCUGAUACCGCCCAAGAGUUCAUAUCGACGGCGGUGUUUGGCACCUCGAUGUCGGCUCAUCACAUCCUGGGGCUGAAGUAGGUCCCAAGGGUAUGGCUGUUCGCCAUUUAAAGUGGUACGCGAGCUGGGUUUAGAACGUCGUGAGACAGUUCGGUCCCUAUCUGCCGUGGGCGCUGGAGAAUUGAGGGGGGCUGCUCCUAGUACGAGAGGACCGGAGUGGACGCAUCACUGGUGUUCGGGUUGUCAUGCCAAUGGCACUGCCCGGUAGCUAAAUGCGGAAGAGAUAAGUGCUGAAAGCAUCUAAGCACGAAACUUGCCCCGAGAUGAGUUCU
rnacentral:rRNA from 1 species